GUUCCUGCACCCCCAGCAGCACAAGGGAUUCUCUCUGCAGCUCUGCAUCUCCUGAGAAAGGGGAUCCAUUCUGUUCCUGCACCCCCAGCUGCACUCAGGCACCCCUGAGCAAGGAAUUCUCUGUGUAACUCUGCAUCUCCUGAGAAAGGGGUUCCAUUCUGUUCCUGCACCCCCAGCAGCACUCAGGCACCCCUGAACAAGGGAUUCUCUCUGUAACUCCUGAAAAAGGGGAUCCAUUCUGUUCCUGCACCCCCAGCUGCACUCAGGCACCCUUGAGCAAGGGAUUCUCUCUGCAGCUCUGCCUCCCUUGAGCAAGGGAUUCUCUCUGUAACUCUGCAUCUCCUGAAAAAGGGGUUCCAUUCUGUUCCUGCACCCCCAGCUGCACUCAGGCACCCCUGAGCAAGGGAUCCUCUCUGCAUCUCCUGAAAAAGGGGAUCCAUUCUGUUCCUGCACCCCCAGCAGCACAAGGGAUUCUCUCUGCAGCUCUGCAUCUCCUGAACAAGGAAUUCUCUCUGCAUCUCCUGAAAAAGGGGAUCCAUUCUGUUCCUGGCACCCCAAUAAGCACAGCAAGAUGUGAGCAAUAAAGUAUGAAAUGCUUGUUUAAAUGCCCUCAUUUUGCUGUUGGUUUGAAGCAGUCUUGCUGACUGUUAUGGGAUUGUGGAGAGAUUUAUUAGCCAGCAGUAAAUGUGCAGUAUGCUACCAGGAUUUGUUUAAAGGAAGCAUUACUAAUUCUUUCCCAAAUUCAUUUAAAUAUUUCUUGCACCAAACUGUACAUAAGCAAUAAGAAAACUUGGAGACAGCUGCAGGAUAAUACAGGUUUGCCUGUAUUUUACCCCAAAGCAUUGCAGUGAAAGUUUACUGUACUCAAGCCUGCAGUUAAAUUAAUUUCUAACAAAAACGCAUCCUAAAAGGUGGCAUUUGGGGCAGAAUUACCAAAGCUUGAGGAUAAAGAGAUACCCACACCCAUGAGACAAGUGGUGCUAUUUGUGACUUCACCAUGAAGUUCAUAUCCCACUUGAAUAUUACAAAAGGGAAAAUUGCUACUGACUGUGGCAUCUCUCCCUUAACUGCAAUGCUACACCAGAAAAAUGGAAUUCAAGAUAUUGGUUACUUUGGAUUUCCCAAAAAAAGCUAAGGAAAAAUGGGUUUGUAUGGGUAUUAGUGCCAGAAUUUCACUUGGGUUUAGUCAGGUGAUAUUCAUAGCUGGAACCUGAGGAUUUUGGAUUUCCCAAAAAGCUAAGGAAAAUGGGUUUUGUAUGGGUAUUAGUGCCAGAAUUUCACUUGGGUUUAGUCAGGUGAUCUUGAUGGAAUUCAAGAAAGAUGGAAUUCAAGGUAUUGAUCACUUUGGAUUUCCCAAAAAGCAAAGGAAAAAUGGGUUUGUGUGGGUAUUAAUGCCAGAAUUUCACUUGGGUUUAGUCAGGUGAUCUUCAUAGUUAGAAAUUGAGGAUUUUUGGAUUUCUCAAAAUGCUGAGGAAAAAUGGGUUUGUGUGGGUAUUAGUGCCAGAAUUUCACUUGGGUUUAGUCAGGUGAUAUUCAUAGUUAGAACUUGAGGAUUUUUGGAUUUCUCAAAAAGCUAAG